GGGGAAUAUUGCACAAUGGGCGCAAGCCUGAUGCAGCGACGCCGCGUGGGGGAUGAAGGCCUUCGGGUUGUAAACUCCUUUCGCUAGGGACGAAGCUUUUUGGUGACGGUACCUAGAUAAGAAGCACCGGCUAACUACGUGCCAGCAGCCGCGGUAAUACGUAGGGUGCGAGCGUUGUCCGGAAUUACUGGGCGUAAAGGGCUCGUAGGUGGUUUGUCGCGUCGUCUGUGAAAUUCUGGGGCUUAACUCCGGGCGUGCAGGCGAUACGGGCAUAACUUGAGUGCUGUAGGGGUAACUGGAAUUCCUGGUGUAGCGGGGAAAUGCGCAGAUAUCAGGAGGAACACCGAUGGCGAAGGCAGGUUACUGGGCAGUUACUGACGCUGAGGAGCGAAAGCAUGGGUAGCGAACAGGAUUAGAUACCCUGGUAGUCCAUGCCGUAAACGGUGGGCGCUAGGUGUGAGGGUCUUUCUACGACUUUCGUGCCGUAGCUAACGCAUUAAGCGCCCCGCCUGGGGAGUACGGCCGCAAGGCUA
rnacentral:rRNA from 1 species